UCAUUAUGAAUAGAAAGAGACAGAUAAAAAAAAUAAAUAAAUUUAUUGUACAAUAACAAAAGUAAAGGGUUUCUUUAACAUUAAUUCUUUAAAAAAAAAUCCUUAUACAGCAUGACAGUUUUAUGAUAUUUGGGAGAAUCUAUAAGCUUAACACUGUUUAUAUAUUCUUCAAAUUCAGCCAGAAGUCUGUAAAUCCCUUUACAGUACUCUGCAUUUUUGAAACAAACAAUAUUAAAAGGUUGAUAAUGUAUUCAA